UAAUAUAUAAUAGCUAUCUACUGCUGCAUGACAAGCUGUACCAAAACGGUAACUUGACAGUGGAGAAACCUGGCAACCACUGGUUUUACCAACUAUCAAGGUAGCAUCCCCUGGAGUCACAAGAGAAAGCUGCAAAGAAUUGCUUGACCUGCCGUGAACACUGAGUAAGAGCCAAAUGUUUAUGGGGCCUAGAACCGAACUCGCAACACCUCCAGAGCGCCUGCGUGUGCUGUGAUUCCUUCCCGGGGAGUGUUCUGUCCGACCUGGCUUCUUCCACCUUAGAGGCCGCCCGACCCGAUCGCUCUAUGGUUUGCAUUUCUCGAGAGCUCCAGACGAAGCGACACCCACUCAUUCCUCUUCCCUGCGCGUCGCACACAGCGCUCGUCCGUGACUCUCCCGUUUAUGCGGACGCUCCGUACGUGCUGCUGGUGUCCAUACCACCCGCAUGUUUGGCAGUGGUGGCACAGGGGUGAAGGAGACGCGGGUUUUAGCCCUGAAGACGCUCACCAAGUAAAAGGGAGAAAGACCGAUGUAGAAACCACUGUCACACAAAUGCCUUCAAGACAUAGCUUGGGCAUCGCCUCCUUUGUGAAGCCUGCUGUGACCACCUCCGCCUUCGUCA